AGCGCAGGCGAGAGAACAAGUUGGAAGUGAAAUCCAUGGGCUCAACCCAUGAACUGCUUUCAAAACUGUUUUUCUUUGAGUAGUGCAGAGGUAGGCGGAAUUCCCGGUGUAGCGGUGGAAUGCGUAGAUAUCGGGAGGAACACCAGUGGCGAAGGCGGCUUCCUGGCCGGAUACUGACGCUCAAGUGCGAAAGCUGGGGGGAGCGAACG
rnacentral:rRNA from 1 species